rnacentral:tRNA from 1 species
AGGUAAUUAGUCCAAGGUAAGACAUUUGAUUUCGGCUCAGAAAGUUGUGGUUUAAGUCCACGAUUGCCUU